UCACAUAGUCCUCCCACAAUAUAUCUGCCAUAGAGCUCAACAUUUCACAUAGUCCUCCUAUAAUAUAUCUGCCAUAGAGGUCAAUAUUUCACAUAGUCCUCCUACAAUAUAUCUGCCAUAUAGCUCAACAUUUCACAUAGUCCUCCUACAAUAUAUCUGCCAUAUAGCUCAACAUUUCACACGUUAAAAUUAAAAUAGAAUCAUCUUGAAUUUAGCUUGAUGUCUUAUUAUGAAGCAUUCCGUUAUUCUCAGACUGCUCACAUAGUAGUGCUGCUUACAUCUCUUUCCCUAGAUGUACAUUAGUAAUGAAUGUGAUGAACAGUCAUUCCAAUAUGAUGAAUGGUAUUUCAUUAAAUUAUGUAAUGAGACAGAAAUUCAAUGAACAAUAAUAACUAAUACAUUCUGUUUUACAUGAUCAUUAUUCAUGACUCUCCAUCUUGGAUAAUGGAUGAUCAGAACAACAUUUCGGUGAGUAAUUACUUAUUUGUCUGUUUUGUUUAUUGACAACCAAUAACACAAGACAAAGAACAGACCAGAGUGUUAAUCUGACACUAUAAAAACUACAGGCCUUGUGAACAGCAGUGUGUCUUCUUCAUGGCUACAAAUUAAAUCAGUUUCUUUACAUUUAUCAAUACUCUCCCCACAUGUUCUCAAGGUAGGUUGGAUUAAGAUGUAUAGAUGUUCUUUAAACUAUCCAGAAUGUUCACAUCAUAGUCCUCCUACAAAAUAUCUGCCAUAGAGGUCAACAUUUCACAUAGUCCUCCCACAAUAUAUCUACCAUAGAGGUGAACAUUUCACAUAGUCCUCCUACAAUAUAUCUGCCAUAGAGGUGAACAUUUCACAUAGUCCUCCUACAAUAUAUCUGCCAUAGAGGUCAACAUUUCACAUAAACGUCCCACAAUAUAUCUGCUAUAGAGCUCAACAUUUCAGAGGGGUUGAGUUAAAUGCGGAAGACACAUUUCAGUUGAAUACAUUCAGUUGGACAACUGACUAGGUAUCCCCCUUUCCUUUCCCUUUCACAUUGUUCUCCCACAAUAAAUCUGCCAUAGAGGUCAACAUUUCACAUAGUCCUCCCACAAUUUCUCUGCCAUAGAGGUCAACAUUUCACAUAGUCCUCCCACAAUAUAUCUGCCAUAGAGGUCAACA